UACAGAGGGGGCAAGCGUUGCUCGGAAUUACUGGGCGUAAAGGGCGCGUAGGCGGGAUGGCAAGUCGGUCGUGAAAUACCUCGGCUCAACUGAGGAGCGUCGAUCGAAACUGCCGUUCUUGAGGGUUGCAGAGGAGACUGGAAUUCCCGGUGUAGCGGUGAAAUGUGUAGAGAUCGGGAGGAACACCGGUGGCGAAGGCGGGUCUCUGGGCAACUCCUGACGCUGAGGCGCGAAAGCGUGGGGAGCAAAC
rnacentral:rRNA from 1 species